rnacentral:tRNA from 1 species
GGAGAGAUGCAGGAGUGGUUGAACUGGCUCGCCUGGAAAGCGAGUGUACUCCAAAAGGGUACCGGGGGUUCGAAUCCCCCUCUCUCCGCCA